rnacentral:lncRNA from 1 species
UUUUAUUUGUAUUUAAUAUUUAUCUAAUAUGUAUUAUUUUUUAGGCUAAAUUAUAUAAAAUUUCUCUGUCAAAAUCCGAUUUUUCACUUUCACCCCUGUCAUUUAAAACCUACACUUUGCCUCCUUGUAAAAUAAAAAAUAUUCACAGAAGGUACGGUGUGUAAAAUGACUAUUUUGCUCCUCACCAUUGUCGUCUCCUCCAUCAUCUUCCUCAACCGCCGCCUCGAUCGGCCGCGAUUCACACCUCGAUUGGCCACGAUUUCUCUCUAUUUUCUUCUCCCCCUUUUCCCCUUCUCCUCCUGCACCAUCGCCGCCCCUCGAUUUCGGCGGCAGUAGGGAGGAAAUCGAGGUGGGCAUUGAUGGAGAGGUAGGCAAGGGCAACGAUGGCGAAGGCGAGGUGACGGAGGACGGCGAAGGGGAUGUGGGCGAGGGUGAGGCAGUGGAGGAGGGCGAGGCGGCGAGGCGACGAGCCGGAGGGAGGCGAAGCAACAGAAAAGAGGGCGGAGGGAUAUUUUUGGCAUAAAAAAAUAUUUUAUAACAGAACCCUAACGGCAGGGAGUGAAGUGCAUAUUUUUUAUUUUAUAAGGCGGCAAAGUAUAGGUUUUUAAACAACAGGGAGGGAAAGUAAAAAAUCGAAUUUUGACAGGAUGAUUUUCUGUAAUUUAGCCUAAUUUUUAUUAAUUAUUACUAUAUGUUGUUUAUUAUUUAUUAUUUAU